GAUCGUCCUGUAAUUAGAGUCCCGCAGAACACAUGGUGAUUUAGAAAAAUUGUUACGAAAAGAUACAAGAAGACUUAGUUUUAUUCAAAACUCAAAUAAAACAGAGCAACUUUUCCCAUUUACUUUUUCUGGAACACCUCUGAACGUGUGUUUGUUAGAAACAGGUCUUUCUGGAGAUUUUCCUGGACAGAGUGUUUACUGAAAAAACCCAAGCAGUUUCUCAGUUAUGUAAUCUCCUGUGUUAUGUCUGCACCACCCCCUGACUAAAUGUAUCCAAAUGGAAAUUAAAAGUUCAGUCCAGGAUUUUUUUUUUUUUUUUUUUUUUUUAACACGAAUAAUGACCAUAUUGCAGCAAGGCAGAGGGAUGAGAAUAAUGAGACAAAGCCUGGGCAGAAGUUUCUUUCCCCCUUCUGUCUUCUCCUGAAACAUGGGGUUUUAGGGCCUUUCUGGUUACUGACUCUCAGAAGUCCUCACUCACUGUGGCUUCAAACAGAACUUGGUUUCCUAAGCCACCGUGACCAGUUUUAUAAUCUUCCUUUAAUAGCUAGCAGGUAUACAAAAGAGCUUGACGCAUUGGUUUACAAAUCAUGGGGACUCCUCUUGGGAACCAUUCGUGAAGCAAGCAAGACCUCUGCCCUCAACGAGCUUAAAGUCUAGAAGGGGGAGAUACAGGAUAAAAAAAUCGUACAUGACAAAUUACAUUGUGUGAGACAAGGGGACGGGGAGAGGUGGCCGGAUUUUAACCUGGCCUGGGAAGAAGGAAACGUGUUGACAAAGACUUGAGAAGCUGAAACAUCAAACAGGUGUGGGGGCAGAGCAUUUCAAACCGUAAAAACCACAAGUGC